GAGUUUGAUCCUGGCUCAGAACGUACGCUGGCGGCACGCCUAAUACAUGCAAGUCGAACGAAGUAGCAAUACUUAGUGGCAGACGGGUGAGUAACAUGUGGGUAUCUUCCCUUUGGUGAGGAAUAACACGAGGAAACUUGUGCUAAUACCUCAUAAGUCUUUACGGAGAAAGCUUUAUGCGCCAUUGGAUGAGCCUGCACUUGAUUAGUUUGUUGGUGGGGUAAUGGCCUACCAAGACUUUGAUCAAUAGCUGAUUUGAGAGGAUGAUCAGCCACAUUGGGACUGAGACACGGCCCAAACUCCUACGGGAGGCAGCAGUAGGGAAUCUUGCACAAUGGAGGAAACUCUGAUGCAGCGAUGCCGCGUGAGUGAAGAAGGCCUUUGGGUUGUAAAGCUCUUUCGUCGGGGAAGAAAAUGACUGUACCCGAAUAAGAAGGUCCGGCUAACUUCGUGCCAGCAGCCGCGGUAAUACGAAGGGACCUAGCGUAGUUCGGAAUUACUGGGCUUAAAGAGUUCGUAGGUGGUUAAAAAAGUUGGUGGUGAAAGCCCAGAGCUUAACUCUGGAACUGCCAUCAAAACUUUUUAGCUAGAGUAUGAUAGAGGAAAGCAGAAUUUCUAGUGUAGAGGUGAAAUUCGUAGAUAUUAGAAAGAAUACCGAUUGCGAAGGCAGCUUUCUGGAUCAUUACUGACACUGAGGAACGAAAGCACGGGUAGCGAAGAGGAUUAGAUACCCUCGUAGUCCAUGCCGUAAACGAUGUGUGUUAGAUGUUGGAAAUUUAUUUUCAGUAUCGCAGCGAAAGCGAUAAACACACCGCCUGGGGAGUACGACCGCAAGGUUAAAACUCAAAUGAAUUGACGGGGACCCGCACAAGUAGUGGAGCAUGUGGUUUAAUUCGAAGAUACGCGCAGAACCUUACCAACACUUGACAUGUUCGUCGCGACUCUAAGAGAUUAGAGUUUUCGGUUCGGCCGGACGAAACACAGGUGCUGCAUGGCUGUCGUCAGCUCGUGUCGUGAGAUGUUGGGUUAAGUCCCGCAACGAGCGCAACCCUUACUUUUAGUUGCCACCAUUAAGUUGGGCACUCUGAAAGAACUGCCAGUGAUAAGCUGGAGGAAGGCGAGGAUGACGUCAAGUCCUCAUGGCCCUUACGUGUUGGGCUACACACGUGCUACAAUGGCAUUUACAAUAGGAAGCAAGAUGGCGACAUCAAGCAAAUCCUAAAAAAAUGCCUCAGUUCGGAUUGUACUCUGCAACUCGAGUACAUGAAGCUGGAAUUACUAGUAAUCGCGGAUCAGCGCGCCGCGGUGAAUACGUUCCCGGGUCUUGUACACACCGCCCGUCACACCAUGGGAGUUGGUUCUACCUUAAGGCAAGGUUUCAAACCCUUGACCACGGUAUAGUCAGCGACUGGGGUGAAGUCGUAACAAGGUAACC
rnacentral:rRNA from 1 species